rnacentral:rRNA from 1 species
UACGUAGGGGGCUAGCGUUGUCCGGAAUCAUUGGGCGUAAAGCGCGUGUAGGCGGUCCGGUAAGUCCGCUGUGAAAGUCGAGGGCUCAACCCUCGAAUGCCGGUGGAUACUGUCGGGCUAGAGUGCGGAAGAGGCGAGUGGAAUUCCUGGUGUAGCGGUGAAAUGCGCAGAUAUCAGGAGGAACACCUAUUGCGAAGGCAGCUCUCUGGGACGGUACUGACGCUGAGACGCGAAAGCGUGGGGAGCGAACAGG